rnacentral:rRNA from 1 species
AUUGAACGCUGGCGGCAGGCCUAACACAUGCAAGUCGAACGGUAACAGGAAGCAGCUUGCUGCUUCGCUGACGAGUGGCGGACGGGUGAGUAAUGUCUGGGAAACUGCCUGAUGGAGGGGGAUAACUACUGGAAACGGUAGCUAAUACCGCAUAACGUCGCAAGACCAAAGAGGGGGACCUUCGGGCCUCUUGCCAUCAGAUGUGCCCAGAUGGGAUUAGCUAGUAGGUGGGGUAACGGCUCACCUAGGCGACGAUCCCUAGCUGGUCUGCGAGGAUGACCAGCCACACUGGAACUGAGACUCGGUCCAGACUCCUACGGGAGGCAGCAGUGGGGAAUAUUGCACAAUGGGCGCAAGCCUGAUGCAGCCAUGCCGCGUGUAUGAAGAAGGCCUUCGGGUUGUAAAGUACUUUCAGCGGGGAGGAAGGCGAUGUGGUUAAUAACCGCGUCGAUUGACGUUACCCGCAGAAGAAGCACCGGCUAACUCCGUGCCAGCAGCCGCCGUAA